UAAUCCCUGCGGUGCACGUUGGAGUGUACGAAAGUUCGUGAACCAACAUUAUGUUAAAGGGAGCUUAACUUCUUUAACACUUCGGUGUCAAAGAGAGAGCACCCACCUGUAACCAAAACGGUUCAACACAGCGUAUCCAACGGCACAGCGCGGGGAUUUU
rnacentral:other from 1 species